rnacentral:rRNA from 1 species
GAUGAACGCUAGCUACAGGCUUAACACAUGCAAGUCGAGGGACCGGCGCACGGGUGAGUAACACGUAUCCAACCUUCCCUUUACUCGGGGAUAGCCUUUCGAAAGAAAGAUUAAUAAUAGAUAUAAAGGAUGGGGAUGCGUUCCAUUAGGUGGUUGGUGAGGUAACGGCGCACAAAGCCUUCGAUGGAUAGGGGUUCUGAGAGGAAGGGCCCCUACAUUUGAACUGAGACACGGUCCAAACUCCUACGGAAGGCAGCAGUGAGUAAGAGUGGUCAAUGGGCGUUAGCCUGAACCAGCCAAGUAGCGUGAAGGAUGAAGGCUUAUUGGUCGUAAACUACUUUUAUAUAAGAAUAGGUAUGAUAUGAAUAAGGAUCGGCUAACUACGUGCCAGCAGCCGCGGUAAUUC